rnacentral:tRNA from 1 species
GCCAAAGUAGUUCAGAUAGAAGAGCAUUAGACUGAACAUCUAAAGGUCCAUGGUUCAAUCCCAAGCUUUGGCA